AAGCCUAGCUUCACUUGAAGAUACUUGAGCAUUCAGAAAUAAUUUGAUGGUAUUUUGAAUUAACUACUAUUUCAGGAUAUUGUCAUGGGUUUAUCUGGCACUAGAACAGUGCCUACAGAAGAAGCAAUUAGAAUCCUUAUAAGCGCAUAUGAAUCAUCUGAAAUUAACCAACAAGUUCAACAAGAAGUUGCAAUGCUAUCUAAGCAGGAGACUAGAUCAGUAGAUCAUAAGAGUACAGGUACAUGUUGAGGAUUGCAAGCCACUUGUUGAGGAUUGCUGUAGUUUUAAGAUUUUGCAAUCUACACGGUUGAUUUAAAAAUGUCAAAGUGUUUGUUUGUGUUUUAAGAUUAAGAAAUUUGUGUGGUGUUGAAUUUUGCUGUUUAGGCCUUUUCUAUUUAGGGGGUGAAAGCAUUGCUUAAUUGUUAUAUUGCAGAAAUGCAAGCAUUACUUGAGAAGGUUUAGGAAGAUGCAUGGAAAGCAAAGAAUAAUUCACAGUAUGAAUGAUUAUGCAGAGUUCCUAUUUCAGAGAUGGAAGCAAGAUAUUGAUGAUGAGGAUGAUCCAUCUUCAAGUGGGAGGCCAUCAUGGUUUAGAAAGCAAUAUACCGCUGGAGCCUCUGGAAAGCACAGGAAUAACGGUCAAGGAAGUCAUCGAUACAGAAGUAAGGGAGUCUGAAAUACUUAUGGUGUCAUAGAAUAUUUCAUAUGUAUCAUAUAGUUGUACGCUGAUUUCUUCUGUGGAAAUUUUCUAAUCGAAUCUGGUCCGGGAAACUUUUGUCUGCACAAGUAGAAUUUUGAGAGAUUAAAGAGCCAUAGACCAUGAAUUAAUUUUAUUUGAUGAUUUGAUCUAUCAUCAUAAGCUUUCUUAAAUGAGGACCGAAUUUCAGCAUUU